rnacentral:rRNA from 1 species
UACGUAGGGGGCAAGCGUUGUCCGGAAUCAUUGGGCGUAAAGCGCGUGUAGGCGGCCAGAAAAGUCCGCUGUGAAAACUCGAGGCUCAACUUCGAGCUGUCGGUGGAAACUUUCUGGCUAGAGUCCGGAAGAGGAGAAUGGAAUUCCUGGUGUAGCGGUGAAAUGCGCAGAUAUCGGGAAGAACACUCGUGGCGAAGGCGGCUCUCUGGGACGGUACUGACGCUGAGACGCGAAAGCGUGGGGAGCGAACAGG